rnacentral:tRNA from 1 species
CCCUCUGUAGCUCAACAGCAGAGCAGCCGGUCGAUAACCGGCAGACCGUGGAGAAUCACCACGCAGAGGGACCA